GGCGAGGCUUAUCCAUUGCACUCCGGAUGUGCUGACCCCUGCGAUUUCCCCAAAUGUGGGAAACGUGACUGCAUAAUUUAUGGUAGUGGGGGGUUA
rnacentral:snRNA from 1 species